CUAUCUUUGCCGGCGUUUUGUUCUGCACUCUUGUUCAGGAGGAGGAUGAAAAGGGAAUCGGGUGAAAGUCCCGGACAGUCCCGCUGCUGUAAGUUCCGUAAAAGAUGUAUUAAUACUUAUGCCACUGUUCUUGAAGAAUGGGAAGGUGAUACAUCAGGAAUAAGUCAGAAGACCUGCAAAACGAAGUCAAAAAAU
rnacentral:ncRNA from 2 species